UUAUGGCCAUAUCACAUUGAAACAACAGUUCCCAUCUGAUCACCGAAGUUAAGCAAUGUUGAGCCCAGUGAGUAUCUAGAUGGGUCACCGCUUGGGGAAUACCAAGUGCUGUAAG